UGUAUCAGUGAUGAUGAUUUGGCUCCCUCUACUGAACAUUGUGAGGAGAUUGCCUUUGUUACCCAAUUUAUGUCUGAGAUACA
rnacentral:snoRNA from 1 species